rnacentral:rRNA from 1 species
UACGAAGGGGGCUAGCGUUGCUCGGAAUCACGUGGCGUAAAGCGCACGUAGGCGGAUUGUUAAGUCAGGGGUGAAAUCCUGGAGCUCAACUCCAGAACUGCCUUUGAUACUGAGAAGCUUGAGUCCGGGAGAGGUGAGUGGUAACUGCGAGUGUAGAGGUGAAAUUCGUAGAUAUUCGCAAGAACACCAGUGGCGAAGGCGGCUCACUGGCCCGGUACUGACGCUGAGGUGCGAAAGCGUGGGGAGCAAACAGG